rnacentral:rRNA from 1 species
UACAGAGGGUGCGAGCGUUAAUCGGAAUUACUGGGCGUAAAGGGUGCGUAGGUGGUUUAUUAAGUCAGAUGUGAAAUCCCCGGGCUUAACCUGGGAAUUGCAUAUGAUACUGGUAAGCUAGAGUGUGGAAGAGGGAAGUGGAAUUUCCGGUGUAGCGGUGAAAUGCGUAGAUAUCGGAAGGAACAUCAGUGGCGAAGGCGACUUCCUGGUCCAUUACUGACACUGAGGCACGAAAGCGUGGGGAGCAAACAGG